rnacentral:hammerhead_ribozyme from 1 species
AUCUAGCUGAAGAGUCCCAAAUAGGACGAAAUGUGAAUCCUGAAU